rnacentral:rRNA from 1 species
CUUAACUGUGGAAUUGCCUUUGAAGCUGUAUGGCUUGAGGACAGGAGAGGCGAGUGGAAUUCCUGGUGUAGCGGUGAAAUGCGUAGAUAUCAGGAGGAAUGCCAGAGGCGAAGGCGACUCGCUGGACUGUUCCUGACGCUCAGGCCCGAAAGCCAGGGUAGCGAACGGGAUUAGAUACCCCGGUAGUCCUGGCCGUAAACGAUGGGCACUAGACAUCUCCUGAUUUUGAGGAGGUGUUGCAGUUAACGCAUUAAGUGCCCCGCCUGGGGAGUACGGUUUCAAGGUUGAAACUCAAAGGAAUUGACGGGGGCCUGCACAAGCGGUGGAGCAUGUGGUUCAAUUCGAUGAUACGCGAAGAACCUUACCUAGGCUUGAACUGCUGGUAGUACCUACCUGAAAAGGAUAGGGAGCCUGCUUGCAGGAAGCC